GCAGAGUGCUCUAGUAUAGGCAGAAGACACUUCAACAAUGUAUGGAGUGACAUCACUGCAACGCUUAAUGGCGCGGGCCCGCCAAUCAGGAAAACGCAGGAGUGACAAAAGGUUGCCGACGUACCGGAGGAACAAUGCCGUUCUGUAUCGCGGCGUUUCACCAGGUGAAGGUUAACCGGUACGCGGAUUAGAGCAUCACCAGCAUGACUACAAUCUUCACCACAAUCAACAGACGAUUCCUGUGGAAAACAGCCGGCGAAGAUGUAGAAAACAGCCGACAGAAAGUAGAGUACCUAUUCCAGGCAGGCAACGAUGGUGAAGAAAACUUCGUGGGAUGCUUAAAGCACACCCGGGCCGGGAGUCGAGCUUGCCUCGACAAUAGAUUGUCCCCCCCAUGCGUAAGGGUGAUGGGGUUUAUCCCAGCUUGCUUUAGUUUUUUUUUUUUUUUAGGUGUCUGGCCUAGCCUGCCAGGUAAAAUCGUCAAUUUAGCUGUUUUGUUUUGUCCUGCGAUUUUAAUUAAUUGUCACUCCUCGCC